UAAACUUGAAAAGGAAAUCAAUUUUGGUUUACUUGUUGUGUUAAGGGCAGUCGAAUAUGCUUUGUUAAGGAGGACUUGAACUAUAAGUAGUAAACUAAUGUAUCAUGUACGCAUUUGAGUUUGAAGUAUUUGUUUGUUUAUCGAGAGAACUCAUUUGAGCAGAGGAACUUGGACUUUCAAUGGAAGCAAUGUGAUCUAUUGUUGAGACUAGGGUCCCUGGAAAUGACGAUUUAUUGUAUUGCCUCUUUUAAUUGGGCAGCUGUUGUUAGAAAUUAGAAUUGAAAUUGAGGAUCUGGGACUGUGUGUUAAUAGUUUUG
rnacentral:misc_RNA from 1 species